GGCUGGUCCAAAGAUAGUGAGUUAUCUCAAUUGAUUGCUCACAGUCAUUUACAGAUUGAACUCCUUGUUCUACUCUAACCCCUCUUCUCACUACUGUACUUGACUAGUCUUAA
rnacentral:Y_RNA from 1 species